GCAGAAGAGGACAGUGGAACUCCAUGUGUAGCGGUGAAAUGCGUAGAUAUAUGGAAGAACACCAGUGGCGAAGGCGGCUGUCUGGUCUGUAACUGACGCUGAGGCUCGAAAGUAUGGGUAGCAAACAGGAUUAGAUACCCUGGUAGUCCAUACCGUAAACGAUGAAUGCUAAGUGUUGGAGGGUUUCCGCCCUUCAGUGCUGCAGCUAACGCAUUAAGCAUUCCGCCUGGGGAGUACGGCCGCAAGGCUGAAACUCAAAGGAAUUGACGGGGGCCCGCACAAGCGGUGGAGCAUGUGGUUUAAUUCGAAGCUACGCGAAGAACCUUACCAGGUCUUGACAUACUAUGCAAAUCUAAGAGAUUAGACGUUCCCUUCGGGGACAUGGAUACAGGUGGUGCAUGGUUGUCGUCAGCUCGUGUCGUGAGAUGUUGGGUUAAGUCCCGCAACGAGCGCAACCCUUAUUAUCAGUUGCCAGCAUUAAGUUGGGCACUCUGGUGAGACUGCCGGUGACAAACCGGAGGAAGGUGGGGAUGACGUCAAAUCAUCAUGCCCCUUAUGACCUGGGCUACACACGUGCUACAAUGGAUGGUACAACGAGUUGCGAACUCGCGAGAGUAAGCUAAUCUCUUAAAGCCAUUCUCAGUUCGGAUUGUAGGCUGCAACUCGCCUACAUGAAGUCGGAAUCGCUAGUAAUCGCGGAUCAGCAUGCCGCGGUGAAUACGUUCCCGGGCCUUGUACACACCGCCCGUCACACCAUGAGAGUUUGUAACACCCAAAGUCGGUGGGGUAAUCUUUUAGGAACCAGCCGCCUAAGGUGGGACAGAGAUUAGGGGAGUCAACAGAGUGGCGAAAAA
rnacentral:rRNA from 2 species